rnacentral:SRP_RNA from 1 species
GCUGGGUGUGGUGGUGCACACCUGUAAUCUCAGCUACUUGGGAGGCUGAGGCAGGAGAAUUGCUUGAACCCGGGAGGCAGAGGUUGCAGUGAGCCGAGAUGGUGCCAUUGCACUCCAGCCUGGGUGACAGAGUGAGACUCUGUCUCAA